rnacentral:rRNA from 1 species
AUACGGAGGAUCCGAGCGUUAUCCGGAUUUAUUGGGUUUAAAGGGUGCGCAGGCGGGAGAUUAAGUCGGCGGUGAAAUUUUGCAGCUCAACUGGAAAAGUGCCUUCGAAACUGGGUUCCUUGAGUGGAGAUGAAGCAGGCGGAAUUUGUGGUGUAGCGGUGAAAUGCAUAGAUAUCACGAGGAACUCCGAUUGCGCAGGCAGCUUACUAAACUACUACUGACGCUCAGGCACGAAGGCGUGGGGAUCAAACAGGAUUAGAUACCCUGGUAGUCCACGCAGUAAACGAUGAUUACUAGCUGUUUGCGAUACAAUGUAAGCGGCUGAGCGAAAGCGUUAAGUAAUCCACCUGGGGAGUACGUUCGCAAGAAUGAAACUCAAAGGAAUUGACGGGG